rnacentral:lncRNA from 1 species
UAUGAUUUUUGGUGGUAACUAUUUUGCUUAGGGCACUGUGAUGUUUAGAACGGAUUUAAAAACUUUUAGCACAUCUGUUGCCAGGGCCCAACUCCAGGGAAGUUCACAGAGUUAAAAUUAGAAAAGCAAAGUAUGUGUAUGUCAGGCAGACAAUAAAGGGAAGUGAUAGUCCCAGGAUGGCUGGGUCACUGGCCACCUGCGGUUGUCUUCUUUCUCUUCUCAUUACCACCUUCCAUUUUCCCUCAAGUGGGAGAAAAAGUGAGUACAGAACGCAGACCACCUGCUGAGGUGGGUGCUGCAGAGAGCCACUGAUUAAAGGUGGAGAUGGAACUCCUUUUCUCAAUUUCAUCUUCUUGAACCUAAUACCAGCUGUGUUUCAAGCUGAGCUACUACACGCCUGCUGGGAGGCCAUUUGCUGCAUGACACUAUGAAAAUGAUGGCGUUUGCUCCUUCAAGUAAGAGAUAAUCAGCUUAUUCAGAGCCUAAAGGAAGAGAAAGUUUUUUCAAUUAGGGAGAAAAUAUUUUCCUUUUCCUGGAUAAAACUGUGUCUGCCAGGCCUCCAUAGAC